rnacentral:rRNA from 1 species
GAUGAACGCUGGCGGCGUGCCUAAUACAUGCCAGUCGAGCGAACAGACGAGGAGCUUGCUCCUCUGACGUUAGCGGCGGACGGGUGAGUAACACGUGGAUAACCUACCUAUAAGACUGGGAUAACUUCGGGAAACCGGAGCUAAUACCGGAUAAUAUAUUGAACCGCAUGGUUCAAUAGUGAAAGACGGUUUUGCUGUCACUUAUAGAUGGAUCCGCGCCGCAUUAGCUAGUUGGUAAGGUAACGGCUUACCAAGGCGACGAUGCGUAGCCGACCUGAGAGGGUGAUCGGCCACACUGGAACUGAGACACGGUCCAGACUCCUACGGGAGGCAGCAGUAGGGAAACUUCCGCAAUGGGCGAAAGCCUGACGGAGCAACGCCGCGUGAGUGAUGAAGGUCUUCGGAUCGUAAAACUCUGUUAUUAGGGAAGAACAAAUGUGUAAGUAACUAUGCACGUCUUGACGGUACCUAAUCAGAAAGCCACGGCUAACUACGUG